rnacentral:lncRNA from 1 species
UGUUUGUGCUUUGUUGCAUCUGCGUUGGAGAAAAAAGCCUUUUCUAAAGCUCUGACAUUAAGCUCAUCUGUCAUAUGGAGCUCGCAUAUAAUAGCUAGACGAUGCAAGCUACUGUUUUCCAGGGAAUAUGCAGUGUCCGCUUUCUUUUAAUUAUUAGGUUUUUUUAAUGAAGUCACGUAUCUCCAUUGCUCUAAAAGCAGCACAUCUCCAGAGAGCAUCAUCCCCUUCCAGCGAGACGCAGUGCAUGCAGAUGUGGAAGAAAACAAAGAGACAGAGAAAGCUCUCAGCCCAAGUGGGCAGGGAGUGAGGGAUCCAUUGGGGAGAUGCUGCUUUGAAAGGAGAUGAGAGGAAGGGACAGAAGGAAGGUUCAGGACAGCGAUGGGGGGCUAUGGCACCUGCUGCCUCUGGGGCACUGUGCAGCUCUUGCAGAGUGUGCAGCCCAAUCACUGUCAUGGUGAGAGUGUUUUAUCAUUGCGGUGUUCCUUCCUCUUGAUCACCAGAGUGUUGGGAGAAGCUGAAGAGGACGUCCCAGGCCAUGUACUGGUGUUGAAGAAGGCUUUCCUGGUCUUGUGUGCUUUGGGCAACCCUACUGUCCUCUCCACAGAGCGUGGCUGGGGGCAGGUGCAGAAGGGCUGCAGGGGUGGGCUGCUCAUAAAGGCUGUUGGAAUCCACCACUGGAAGGGUUUCUAG